rfam:Oryza glumipatula chromosome 12, whole genome shotgun sequence.
UUUAAGUGCAGUGAUGGGUUUAUAUACUUAACAUGUUUGACCAUCUAUCUUAUUUAAUAUUUUUUUUAUGAUUAGUAUUUUAAUUGUUAUUAGAUGAUAAAACAUGAAUAAUGCUUUAUGCGUGACUUGUUUUUAUUUAUUUUUUCAUAAAAUUUUAAAUAGGAUGAACGGUCAAACGUGAGACAUGGAAACUCACAACUGCGCUUAAA